rnacentral:rRNA from 1 species
UACAAAGGACGACAGUAGACGAAUCAUCUGGAAAGAUGAAUCAAAGAAGGUAAUAAUCCGUUAGUCGAAAAUGUUGUCUUUCUUGAGUGGAUCCUGAGUCCUACGGAGCACGUGAAAUUCCUUCGGAACGUGGGCGUCCGAUCUGUUAAGGCGAAAUCCUCUCUAGUGACCAAUACUAUUCCACUAACGUCGGGGUAAACCGAAAAGCCCCCCGGUAGGAAAGUGAAAUAGACCCUGAAAACGUGUGC